rnacentral:rRNA from 1 species
AUGGCGGCCAAGGGGAGGACCGAGAUGGAGGUGGGCGGCGAUGGCGUUGCCGUCAUCACCAUCUGCAACCCGCCAGUCAACUCCCUCUCCAUCGAUGUACUGCUAAGCUUAAAGGAAAGCUAUGAAGAAGCUCUUCAGAGGAAGGAUGUCAAAGCUAUUGUUGUUACAGGGAAAGGGGGGAAAUUUUCUGGAGGAUUCGAUAUUAGUUCCUUUGGUGAUCUUCACAGUGGAAAAAUUGAGCAACCAAAGGUUGGUUACAUAUCAAUAGACAUUCUCACUGAACUUCUGGAAGGAGCAACAAAGCCAUCGGUGGCUGCAAUUGAUGGUCUUUGUCUUGGCGGAGGAUUAGAAGUUUCCAUGGCAUGCCAUGCACGUAUUUCAACUCCCACUGCUCAAUUAGGUCUUCCAGAACUUCAACUUGGGAUCAUUCCAGGAUUUGGAGGAACGCAGCGACUCCCACGUCUUGUUGGAUUGACAAAGUCACUGGAAAUGAUGUUGCUAUCCAAGCCAAUUAAGGGCGAAGAGGCACACCAACUGGGUCUUGUUGAUUCCGUAGUUUCUCCUAAUGAUUUGGUGAAUACUGCUCGUCGUUGGGCUUUGGAUAUCUGCGAGCUCAGAAAGCCAUGGAUCAAAAGCCUUUACAAGACUGACAAACUGGAACCCCUUGGUGAGGCUAGGGAGAUUCUCAAGUUUGCAAGGGCUCAAGCUCGAAAGCAGGCUGCAAAUCUUGAACACCCACUUAUUUGUAUUGAUGUCAUUGAAGAAGGUAUAGUUUCAGGACCUCGAGCUGGGCUCUGGAAGGAAGCAAACGCAUUCCAGGGCCUUCUUUUCUCAGAUACAUGUAAAAGCUUACUUCAUGUAUUCUUCUCUCAGCGUGCAACAUCAAAGGUUCCUGGUGCUACAGACUUGGGUUUGAUGCCUAGGAAAAUAACGAAAGUCGCCAUUCUAGGUGGUGGGCUUAUGGGUUCUGGAAUUGCUACCGCAAUGAUACUGAGUAACUAUCCUGUGCUGCUGAAAGAAGUAAAUGAGAAAUUUUUGAUUGCUGGAAUUGACAGGAUCAAAGCCAAUUUGCAGAGUCGUGUGAUUAAAGGAAAAAUGACAGAGGAGAGAUACGAGAAGGCUAUGUCUCUUCUCAGUGGUGCCCUUGGUUAUGAAAAGUUCAAAGAAGUGGACUUAGUUAUCGAGGCGGUUAUUGAGAAUGUGAAGUUGAAGCAGCAAAUAUUUGCCGACUUGGAGAAGUACUGCCCUUCCCAUUGCAUCCUUGCUACCAACACAUCUACAAUUGAUCUUAAUCUAAUUGGAGAGAAAACAAAGUCCCAAGACCGUAUUGUUGGUGCACACUUCUUUAGUCCUGCGCAUGUGAUGCCGCUCCUGGAAAUAGUUCGUACCCAGCACACUUCAGCACAGGUUGUUGUUGACUUGCUGGAUGUCGGGAAGAGGAUCAAGAAGACACCAAUAGUGGUUGGGAAUUGUACUGGUUUUGCCGUCAACAGGAUGUUCUUUCCUUACACCCAGUCAGCACUCCUGUUUGUUGAUUAUGGUAUGGAUGUUUACAAGAUCGAUCGUGCAUGUACCAAAUUUGGAAUGCCCAUGGGUCCAUUCAGGCUUGCAGAUCUUGUUGGUUUUGGUGUUGCUGUGGCUACUGGUAUGCAGUACCUUGAAAAUUUCCCGGAGAGAGUCUACAAGUCCAUGUUAAUCCCUAUUAUGAUGGAGGACAAAAGAGCAGGCGAAGCCAGUCGGAAGGGAUUUUACAAGUACGAGGAUAGGAGGAAGGCAACUCCUGAUCCUGAAAUUAUGACGUAUAUUCAGAAAUCUAGGAGCAUGGCAGGAGUUACUCCCGACGCUGAGUUGAUGAAGCUAAGUGACAAGGACAUAGUCGAGAUGGUGUUCUUCCCGGUCAUAAACGAAGCAUGCCGUGUCCUUGAUGAGGGCAUUGCGGUCAAGGCGUCGGAUCUUGAUAUCGCCUCAAUCUUCGGCAUGGGUUUCCCACCUUACAGGGGAGGGGUCAUGUUAUGGGGAGAUUCAAUCGGCGCAAAAUACAUCCACGGCAAGUUGCAGGAGUGGGCGAAGCGGUACGGCAGCUUCUUCGAGCCUUGCUCCUACCUCGCCGAAAGAGCAGCGAAGGGGAUUCCUCUGAGUGCACCAGCAGCAAGUCAAGUCAAGGCCCGGCUAUAG